GCGUCUUUCGUUCAAUGGUAGGACUAUGGUCUCCAGAACCAUCAAUUAGGGUUCAAAUCCUUAAGGACGUGCCA
rnacentral:tRNA from 1 species